ACGUUUCUGUGAUUUUGAUGUACUGAACAAUUAUAAUCUUGUCAGAUUUUCUUUGGGAAAGAUUAUUAUUAUUUGGACGCUUGAAAAAGUAAACGUUUGUCUGCCGAAGACAAUCACGUGGUUUAAGGCCAUGUGCUUCCCUAGUAUCAACAGUGCCGAGGACGGCGCCAGUGAAAGGCAGGCGGUUUGCCGGAGCAGCAAAUUAAAGUCUUGAUUUUUAGAGGCAUGCAGGUUUUUAAGAAAGAAAACAGUGUUGUAAAGAAAGAAAAAGAUUUUCAACUCAAAGAACUGCAGAUGACACAGAGGGUUUAGGAACCAUAAAUUCGAUGUUGGAGUUUGAACUUCACCUUGAUAGACUUUGAGCACAUCAUAUUAAGUUUUAGACCUAAGGACGAAAUCUUGCAGUUGGAAGAUAAGGAAAACACAGCCGUGAUAAAUAUCAGAGAAAUCUCCUUAGAAGAGUGCGCCGUUCUGGACAAAAAGUUGCAAUGUGAAUAACUUGGAAGAAAGAAGAGUCUUGGCAAAUUAGAGAAUUCUUGAUGAAAGAUUGCAUGU